GCCACUUCCCAUGCAUAUAUAUAUAUAUAUAUAAAAAAACCCCACAUCAAACUGUUGGACAAAAACUGCAAGUAAAUCUAUGGGUUCUUCUUGUCCCCCCUCAGCUUGCUCAGACCGAGCUGCUGAGGACAAUCUAAUGCGCCAUUGCUAACAAGUUGAUGCACACACACACACACCCCUUCUCUGUGCAUGAAAGAGACAGGGCAUGGCGAGUGGUUGCUGCUGUUUUAAUAGAGAAAAUGCUGGCGGAAGGUGAACGUACCGCGCACAGGGGUUCUCCAUGGUAUUGUGGUGAAACUUCAUUAUGGUAAAGGAGCCUUGAAGAUCAUCUGUCUUUGCAAAUAAGAAAAAUGCUGGCAAGUGCCGUGGUACAGAUAAGUCUGCAGCACAUCAUGGGGAUCUUUGUGUAAACUGAGGCAAGAAUUCCAUAGAAUAGCAAUAAAAAGGACAAGGCAACGGAGGACAUCUCCACACUGAGGGAAGGAAGCAGUGGCAAGGUCUUAGGAUAUGAGGCUGCCUUAUCAAGAAAUAUUUGAAUUGCUUCUGAGGCUUCAGACCAAGUGUAUUUUAUGAAAUACAGUACAUUGCCUAUUCUUGUGCUUAUUGUUUUAUCGUAUUCUUUUUUAGCUCUUGUCUCUUCACAUUUGGGCUCUAAAUAUACACUUAAAUUAUCAAUGCAGAUAAUUUUAAAAAUCUAAUGUACUUUUCAUUUUUAAGCUCUUUUUUUUUUAAUUUAUUUCACAUAGCUUGGACAGUGUCACUAAACUGGUCAGUUUCCCCUUCUGUUUCUUGUGAAUUAACACAAUACGGUUGAGUUAGAUUCACACUACUGCAGAGAGAAGUCCACAUUUUUCCAAAAGAUUGUUUUCAUUGACAUUUGAGGGGAUGGGAAAUAAGUGACCACAUUUUUAUUCAUAAUAGAAGGUCAGAUCCUGCUACCACUGAAUUCAGUGGCUAGACCUCUAUUGGAUGCUAGCAUUUAUACAAUUCUUUCUUUAUUUUUAACAGACAUAAACUUUGAGCUUUGAACUAGUUUAAAAGUACCCUUUUGAUGUUUUGGCUUCUAACUGUCCAUGUACUACUUAGAUGAGUGGGAUGGAGAUUACUGGGUUAUAUCACCCAGGACAAAAUUCACUGAAAGGGGCCAAAAUAAAGGAAAACUCAGUGAGGUUUUCCUCACAGUGUUUCUUUCAUAACUUUCUAAAAAUCUUGAAGUCUGUUAUUUCCUUACCACUCACCAGCAAGGCCUAGUUCUGCACUCUGAUCUUUCUUGGUUUCAACGGGAGGUUUGCCCAAGAAUAGACUACGUGAUCAGAUCCGCUAAGUCUCAAUUCAAAAUUCAUUGUUUCCCCUGACAUUACAAGCACCUGCAGCAGAGAAAGGAGAUCCAGAAAAUACAGGGAAAGAGGGUAAAAAUCUCAGUGAAAAAAUUUAUUUCUUAAAAAUACUGUAACUUUAAAGGAUCGGGGGGAGAAAUCUCCUAAAAUGGAUUAUUUUUAUGAUUGUGUAUUUCUUUCCUUGAAUGCAUCUAGCAUGUUGAUUAAACUUAAUGUUACCUUUAAUAUUAAACUGUUUUUAAAAGGAA